rnacentral:rRNA from 1 species
UUUGAUUUCCCAAGAGCACAAGCUCAGACAGAACAAACACCGGGGGAAGUGAAACAUCUCAGUACCCCGAGGAAGACUGAUCAACCGAGACUCCGGCAGUAGAUGUGAUCGACCCCGGACCAAACCUCUCUUUUUUUGGUGAAAAACCCCAAAGAAGGUCGACCUUCUUCUUUUCUUGAACCGUGGUGGAAUCCCGGGCCAAAGAAGGUGAAAGCCCUGUACAGGAAAGACUGGGUCGACAGAGAAAAGAAUGAGUACAUCGGAUCACACCGAUGGAAGACAGGGGGACCACCCUCUGAAGGUUGGAUACCUAGAAGAACCGAUAGCGCAGGAUGUACCGUGAGGGAAGGGUGAAAAGAACCGAUCCGGAAGACUUCUUCCGAAGAAUGAGGACUUGAAAAGAACCUGAAUCCUGGUGCACAUCAAACGGUCGGAGCCAGACAUGGUGACGGCGUACCUUUUGCAUAAUGGGUCAGCGAGUGUAGAUUCACCUGUACAAAAAAAAACCAAGGCUUGAGCCCAAAGGUGGAGGCAGGAGGAAACCCGAGUUUACAAAGGCUUCUUUCUUGGUUUUCAAAGAAAGGAUUUUCUCUUGAGCGUAUGCGAUAAGGGUUUUUUCUUUCUUUUCUGUGUAUAGGGGGUGUACGACCCGAAGCCAGGCGAGCUUUCCAUCUCCAGGUUGAAGUCGAAAGUCUUUCGAUGGAGGACCGAACCGGUGAAUGUGGCAAAAUUCUCGGAUGAGGGGUGGAAAGGAGUGAAAGGCUUACCAAGCCUGGUGAUAGCUGGUUCUCCGCGAAAUCUAUGUAGGUAGACUAGACCCAGACUCCUUUUCGGAGGUAGAGCACUUGUUGGAUGACGGGAGCCCAAACCUUUACGAAGUCCAAGAAAACUCCGAAGGCCGACAAAGGGUGGGUAUCUGUACAGACUCUGGGCGCGAAGGUCCAGGGUCGAGAGGGGAAGAGCCCAGACCGUCCGUUAAGGUCCCAAAGUGUGCCCUGAGUGCGCAAGGAAGUCAGAAAACAGAGACAUUCAGGAGAUGGGCUUGGAAGCAGCCGUUCUAUGAUGAUCGCGUACCAGCGCACUGAAUGAGUUUUUUGGCGCCGACCAUACUCGGGACUGAAGGGCACCACCGAAACGACGGAGAACGAUUCGUUCUGGUAGCGGAGCGUCCUGUGUUCCUUUGAAGGAAAAAGGAUACUUUUUCUGGAGGACUCGGGAGUGAGCAUGCUGACAUGAGUAACGAGGCUCGGGGAGCCAAUCCCCGUCGCCGUAUGCGCACGGGUUCCACAGCACUGUUGACCAUCUGUGGAAGACACGGAUCCUAAGAAGAUGAGAGAAGUCUCACUUUGAUGGAGGAUGUUUUUGAAGGACGGCUUUCUUUCUUUGAGGUUUUUUCUUUGGGAAGAAAGGUCUGAGAAAAGAAGGUCCAGGAAAAGUUCAAAAACCCUGUAUCCGUACCUAAACCGACACUGGUGCGCGGGUCGAACAGACUCAGGCGUCGAGAGACCCAUGGUUAAGGAACUCGGCAAAUUCACUCCGUACGUUCGCAAGAAGGAGGGCUCCAGUCUGACUGGAGUCGCAGAAAAAUGUGGCCGGGGACUGGUUAUUAAAACCACAGGUCUCUGCAAAGUCGAAAGACGACGUAUAGGGACUGACGUGUGCCCAAUGCCCGUCGUUGUACAGGACCGGUGUUUGCCGGAAAUCGAAAACCGGGCCAAUGGCUGCUGUAUCACUGACAGUACUAAGGUAGCGAAAUUCCUUGUCGCAUAAGUAGCGACCCGCAUGAAUCACGUCACCACCGGCCAGCUGUCUCAACCAUGGACUCGGUGAAAUUGAAGUCCCCGUGAAGAUGCGGGGUACUCACGGUAAGGCGAGAAGACCCCGUGGACCUUUACUCAAGCCCUGCAUUGAGUGUCGGGACCUGUGUGCGCAGACUAGGUAGGAGCGGUAUCCAUAGGUUGCGGCCUAGAGGACACGCAUCAGUGAGAGACUACCCACACACACCGGCGCUCUCACCCUGUGGACAGUGCAUGGUGGAGAGUUUGACUGGGGCGGUCGCCUCCUAAAGAGUAACGGAGGUGUAUGCAAGGUAGGCUCACCCCGGACGGCAACCGGGCGAGUGGGGAGAAUGCCCUAUGCCUGCUUGACUGUAAGAUGGGCACAUCGAGCAGAGACGAAAGUCGAUCAUACUGAACCGGAGUUUCCUUGUGGAAGGGGCUUCGCUCAACGGAUCAAAGGUACCCCGGGGAUAACAGGCUUAUACUUCCCGAGAGCUCGAAUCGACGGAAGUGUUUGGCACCUCGAUGUCGUCUCCCUGUGUCCUCGUGCUGCAGAAGGUGCGAAGGGUUCGGCUGUUCGCCGAUUAAUACAGGACGCGGAUGGGUUUAGAACGUCGUAAGACAGUUUGGUUUCUACCUACCGUGAGGGUACACCCUGGACUCAGACUGAGUCCAGACGUAUAUGUGAGAAGCUUUCACUCUAGUACGAGAGGACCGAGUGGAACGGACCUCUGGGGUGUCUGUUGUAGUCCCACUGCAAGGCAGAGAAUCUACGUCCGGAAAGGAGAAGGGCUGAGUGCGUCUGAAGCCCGAAACCAGCUUUGACACGACAUAUCAGCGCUGGCGGAAGACCACCGCAGAAUAGGCAAACCGUGUGUCUCGGGUACACCGAAAAGCGAGUUUGUACUAAGA